UUCCAGAGCUCUUUGACCCGACGCGACCCAGAAACCCGCGACAGGAUCCGACCGGCGCUACUUCGUCCGGCCACCGAUCGACGACGAACGACCACCAUCUUCUUCACCUACAUCCUCAUUUUCUUGGAUCGUCCAUGCACUGAACGGAGAAGAAAACCCGACGACGAGAAGCCCGAACCUUUACCGGCAACCUUUGCAAUUUCCGGCACCUCCGGCCACCGUUUGGGUCGUCUGUGUUUUUCCGGCUCUUCUCGGCUUAGUUUUUGGCUUGGUUGCAUCUGUAGACGAAGGCAGACCUUGUUUAGGUAUUGAAGUAUGAGAAUUGUUGGUUGAGUGGCCAUCAGGUCGAACUCCGACACCGGUCGAGUUUCGAAAGUAGGCUGGACGGAGUUGAUCAACUCGGCGUUGACUAGGCUAUCUCCAGCAACUGUGUUCUCCGCCCUGAGGUCUCACCUGCAUGUCGACUACUGAAGGAUUUCCAGUUACCCGAGGAACGGAAGGUUCGUGAAUCUCAGACAACGUAAAAGGUUAAAGCAUCGAAAUCCAGGCCAAAAAAGCUAACAGACAACGGACCAAAUUCGUUGUGUGAUUUGGACGAUCUCCAUUGUGUAUCGGAGCGUUGUGUGAUGAAAAAUGGCACAACGGUGGAAACCCGUUGUGGGAAUCACAAACAGUCAACACUUAUUUGGCUAAAACUGUUGUGCCUUCUCUCGGCAGAUGGCAGCCACAGUUGCCGCGCAGUCAUGCUGCACAUGUCAUUGGCAUCAUUCACACAACGAAAGUUGUUUCCGAGCCGUUGUAUGAAAGGCGAAUCAGACAACAGCAUUUUAUUUUCUCUGUUGUAUGAGUUAUCCUCACACUUCACUUUUGGAAAUUUUAUUGUUGUGUGUUAGUUUUAGAUAACGUAUUCUAGUUAUUACAGUUGUGUGAUUGUAAAUAAGACCAUGUAUGUUUGUUAGAACCAUUGCAUGUUAUAUAAGGAUUCAUUGUGUGAACAUCCAAAUUGUUACUUCAGACAA